rnacentral:rRNA from 1 species
AACGAACGCUGGCGGCAUGCCUAACACAUGCAAGUCGAACGAGACCUUCGGGUCUAGUGGCGCACGGGUGCGUAACGCGUGGGAACCUGCCCUUAGGUUCGGAAUAACUCCCCGAAAGGGGUGCUAAUACCGGAUAAUUUCUUCGGACCAAAGAUUUAUCGCCUUUGGAUGGGCCCGCGUUGGAUUAGCUAGUUGGUAGGGUAAAAGCCUACCAAGGCGACGAUCCAUAGCUGGUCUGAGAGGAUGAGCAGCCACACUGGGACUGAGACACGGCCCAGACUCCUACGGGAGGCAGCAGUGGGGAAUAUUGGACAAUGGGCGAAAGGCUGAUCCAGCAAGGCCGCGUGAGUGAUGAAGGCCUUAGGGUUGUAAAGCUCUUUUACCCGGGAGGAUAAUGACAGUACCGGGAGAAUAAGCACCGGCUAACUCCGUG